rnacentral:tRNA from 1 species
GCCGCUGUAGCUCAGUUGGUAGAGCAGUUGAUUCGUAAUCAAAAGGUGAGAGGUUCGAUUCCUCUCAGCGGCA